GCGGGAGUGGCGGAAUGGUAUACGCAUCAGUCUUAAAAACUGAGGAGGCAACUCAUACGGGUUCGACUCCCGUCUCCCGCA
rnacentral:tRNA from 1 species